UCAACCNUUGUAGGCUUUGGAAACUGUUUAACUUGAGUGCAGAAGGGGAGAGUGGAAUUCCAUGUGUAGCGAUGAAAUGCGUAGAUAUAUGGAGGAACACCGGUGGCGAAAGCGGCUCUCUGGUCUGUAACUGACGCUGAGGCUCGAAAGCGUGGGGAGCGAACAGGAUUAGAUACCCUGGUAGUCCACGCCGUAAACGAUGAGUGCUAGGUGUUAGGUCCUUUCCGGGAUUUAGUGCCGCAGCUAACGCAUUAAGCACUCCGCCUGGGGAGUACGACCGCAAGGUUGAAACUCAAAGGAAUUGACGGGGGCUCGCACAAGCGGUGGAGCAUGUGGUUUAAUUCGAAGCAACGCGAAGAACCUUACCAGGUCUUGACAUCCCGAUGCCCGCUCUAGAGAUAGAGCUUUACUUCGGUACAUCGGUGACAGGUGGUGCAUGGUUGUCGUCAGCUCGUGUCGUGAGAUGUUGGGUUAAGUCCCGCAACGAGCGCAACCCUUAUUGUUAGUUGCCAUCAUUCAGUUGGGCACUCUAGCGAGACUGCCGGUAAUAAACCGGAGGAAGGUGGGGAUGACGUCAAAUCAUCAUGCCCCUUAUGACCUGGGCUACACACGUGCUACAAUGGCUGGUACAACGAGUCGCAAGCCGGUGACGGCAAGCUAAUCUCUGAAAGCCAGUCUCAGUUCGGAUUGUAGGCUGCAACUCGCCUACAUGAAGUCGGAACCGCUAGUAAUCGCGGAUCAGCACGCCGCGGUGAAUACGUUCCCGGGCCUUGUACACACCGCCCGUCACACCACGAGAGUUUGUAACACCCGAAGUCGGUGAGGUAACCGUAAGGAG
rnacentral:rRNA from 1 species